UGUGGCUCAGCGGUAGAGCGCUCGCCUAGAAUGCGCGGGGCCCUGGGUUCAAUCCUCAGCA
rnacentral:tRNA from 1 species